rnacentral:rRNA from 1 species
GUCUAUGGCCAUACCACCCUGAACGUGCCCGAUCUCAUCUGAUCUCGGAAGCUUAGCAGGGUCGGGCCUGGUUAGUACUUGGAUGGGAGACUGUAUAAUCUGGCCUAAUAAGAA